UAUACUAAAGGAUUAAAUCAUAUAAAUAAUAGGUUAAAAAGGCAGUUAAAUAAUAACGACAAGUAUAUUAAUCAUCUAUAUAAAAGUGAAAUUUGAAUAUAAACUGAUAAUUUAGUAAUUACUGUCAGAUUGAGUCUGCGAUAGCCUUGAGGGAAACUGGGAUUAGAUACCCCAUUAUUCUUGGUUGUAAAUGAAUUAAAUUUACCAGAGUACUAUGAAUUCAUAUUAAAAUUUAAAACUCAAAGGGCUUGGCGGUGUUUUAGACUCUUCAGGGGAACCUGUCUCAUAAUCGACAAUCCACGUUAAACCUAACCUCUUUUAGUAAAUCAGUUUGUAUACCGUCGUCGGCAGGUAACUUUUAAAAAACUAAAAGUUAGCAACAAAACUAUCCAUGAGUUAAAACGUCAGAUCAAGGUGCAGCCAAUAAAGGGGUGAGGAUGGGUUACAAUUAUAACUUAUAACUACGGAGGAAUAGGGGAAUGACUAUUCAUGAAGGAGGACUUGAAAGUAAAAUAAACUAUAUAAACAUUUUGAAUACAGCUCUGAAACGUGC
rnacentral:rRNA from 1 species